AGGGUAACCUUAGUUGUGACCCCAAGAUAACGUGGCUGAGCUCAGGCAUACUAAUGCUCUGUAGUAGCACGUCCCACACUAUGCGCCUGACGGUGGGACAAGGGUGGGCUCCCUGUUUGUAGCUCGAAGAAAGCACUUCCACCUAAGGGGAGCAGGGACAGAGGGCGGGAGUCAGGCCGGGCCGGGCUGCCGCCGAGCCGGCCGCCGAGCCGGCCUAUCGAGCCCGGGCCCAGCCGUGGCCCGGUCCGACGCCCAGGCUAACUUUACUUGAGUAGUUCCACCAAUAAUAACCUUCUUCUCGAGUGAUGUCAACUAUGGCUAUACGAGCUCCUCGAAGAGAGCAGAUGACCAGAAGCUGGUUGCGUGGAGCGACAAAUUGGGAACAAUCCAGGGCUUUGCCGGGAGGCCACCGAUCGGCCGGCAGACUUGAGCUGGUUGGGGUAAAUGGUCGAGGCUCGGGGAACACUCUGUAGGGCGGUCUGAUGACGGACGAUGAGGAGCAAAUGGGCUGAGUUAGCGAUGGUCUCUGGUCGCAAGACAUCCUUCAAACAAUAGAGGCUUCCUAGGCACAGAAACCAUCAUGGGCUUCGAUAGUAGAAGGGGCGAACAAGGAGGAGGAAGACGAUUUUGCCAAGAGCACAGGUGCGUGAGAUCGAUCGAUCCAAGGUGUUGGUCAUUCCAAAAGCGGUUCACGAAAAGCUCAAAGCUCCUUUUCAGUUCACGGCCAUAGCAACACUUGUAGGAGGAGGAUCUCGCAGCAGGUUGGUGGAGAGUUGGGGGUCAUGUUUUGAUUGCCUAUAGAUGGAGGCCUGGAAUGCCUCUAAAGGUGGAGUUGUCAAGCAGGGUGUGCAUCUGAAUGCGCUUCCCUGACUUCCUACUGAAAUAUGGAAGGGUAUCUUCCGACUACUCGCAGAUAUGAUGGGGGCAUCCUUUGUGGAGGCGAACGCCUUCACUAAGGACGUCGCCAAUUUGAGAUUUGCGCAAGUGCUCCUGGAAAUCCCUUUGGGUUUCAUUCCAGUGAGCAAAGUAAAGCGUUUUUUCAUGAAGGGGAAGCUCUCGUUCAAAGCGUGGACUAGAAGCCAGCCAAAAUGAUAUGCUAAGUUGAAUUUUUAAAGCGAGCAAUUCUUCGAGUGUCAAGAUAUAGUAGAUGAACACAAGGUAAAUCAAGGUAUAGUAGAUGAACACAAGGUAAAUCAAGGUAUAGUAGAUGAACACAAGGUAAAUCAAGCAGCGAUGCAUAUGGAGGGACCAGCCAUCUGCUGGUAUCGAUGGCUGUUAGCCCACCAAGGAAAACCCAAUUGGAGAGCUGCUGGAGGCCAUGAAGUCGAGAUUCGGUCCUUCAACAUAUCUCGACUAUAAUGUCGAGUUGUCUAAGAUCAAACAGAGGGGUUCGGUGGUGGAGUAUCAGGGAAAUUUUGAAGAGGUUAAUAACAUGGUGCAUGGUUGGCCAAUGGAGGCCUUAAUUGGAGCUUUCGUAUGAGGGUUGAAGGACGAUAUUCAUAUAGAAGUACGCGGAAAAGCCUCGCAGCUUAUCUGACUACUUAAAGCUCUUUAGAAAGACAUAAGAAAAGUAUCAGGCCCCAUCAGUUUGGCAAACAAGGAAGCUUCGACAAAAGCUUUUGUGGUCCACCAGCAUGCCUUGACGCUCCUACAGCACCAGUGGAUGGGGUAGCGGCUCAACGUGGAAAUGCAACAACAAACCUGUUGUUGUCAGGCAACUAACACCUGAGCAAAUCAAAGAAAAGCGACAGAGAGGCAUUUGUUUUCACUGCGAUCAGCCCUGGACACCAGGGCAUACGUGCAUGAGACUUCACAUGUAUCUCAUAGAUGAGGAAGAGAAUCCACCAGAUGAACAACUAGAAAACGCUAAAGAGGCAAUGAUGGAAUCCAUGGGAGACACGGACCACCGGAAAUCUCCUUACAUGCCUUGGUAGGAGACAAGGUUCCACAGUUGAUGAGAGUUGAAGGGCAGCUGAGAGGAUGACCCGUGAGUGUGUUGGUGGACACAGGCUCCACUCAUAAUUUCAUUUGUGAGAAAUCGGCAAAGGCAUUGGGCUGUCGUGUAAAAAAUCAGCAGGCAUUCGAUGUGGUGGGAGAUGGCAGCACCUUGAAGUGCAGAGGAAAGUGUUGGAAAUCCUGGGACAUCAAUUUUCCAUUGAGUUGAUUACAUUAGCCAUGGCAGGUGCUGAUCUAGUAUUAGGCAUACAGUGGCUGCGUAGCCUUGGGGAGUUUAUUUGGGAUUUUGUAGACAUGAAGAUGCAUUUCUGCAGAACGGGUGAAGGGACGCAGACCUUGGUAGCAGCAACUCAGAAGGCUAGUGCAGAGCAAUCAAUGGCUCAGAUAUUGAAAGGGUCACCAACCCCUCAUGCUGCUGCUAGCCUGCGAACAGGGAAAAAAAGGGGUAGAAACAGCACCAUCAAGUGAGAUAUGCUAACAAAAGUUGAUGGAUAUACUAGCAGAAUUUAAGAGUGUGUUCGAAGAGCCCAAAGGGCUCUCUCCUUCCCGUGAUUGUGAUCACUGCAUAGAACUACAACCAGGAAGUGAGGCAGUCAGCCGAUGCCCUUACAAAUACAGUCAGCACCAAAGGGAAAUUCUAGAGAAGUUCGUUCAGGAAUUGCUAUCGGAGGGAAUAAUUCAACCAAAUCGAAGCUCUUUUGCUUCUCCAGUUGUUAAGAAGAAGGAUAGAGGCUGGCGCUUUUGCAUUGAUUACAGAGCCUUGAACGCUAUAAUAGUCAAGAAUCAUUAUCCCAUAUCUGUCAUUGAAGAUUUGAUAGAUCAGCUACAUGGGGCAGAAUAUUUUUCUAAGUUGGACCUACAUGUUGAUUCCACCAGAUCAGGGUGGCGGCUGAAAUCUCUCUCCAAAAUUGUGUUUCACACCUAUGAUAGGUAAGCAUUACAAAUUUAAGGUAAUGCCCUUUGGACUGACAGAUGCCCCAACCACGUUUCAGUCAUUAAUGAAUGAUGUUUUUAGGCCCUUCCUCCACAAAUUUGUAUUGGUAUUCUUUGAUGGCAUACUAGUGUUGUGUGCAGCCGAGGAAGAUCAUUUUAAGCACCUGUGCCAAGUUUUUCUCAUAUUACAGUAGCAUCAUCUUCAGGCUAGACUCUCAAAGUGUGUGUUCGGCACUCUCCAAGUCGCAUACUUGGGACAUGUCGUCAGCAAAGGGAUGGUGAAGCUGGAAGAUGAGAAGGUAGAAGUUGUAAGGCAUUGGAAUCUACCAAGUUCUCCUAAAAGCUGAGAUCUUUUCUCAGUUUAGUAGGCUAUUACAGAAAAUUUGUGCAAGAAUAUGGCCUAAUCGUUGCCCUGUUAACAGCUCUUACAAGAAAGAGAAAUGGGGAUCGGAUGAACAACAUGCCUUUGAUAUGCUGAAACAAGCAAUAACCUCACCGCCGGUGUUGAAGAUGCCUAACUUCAACAUUUUGUUGUAGAGGCUGAUGCGUCUGACCAUGCAGUAGGAGUUGUGUUGCAACAGAACCAACACCCAUUUGCAUUUUUUAGCAGGGUGUAGGGAUGUACUUUUAAAACCAGAUCUACAUAUGAACGUGAACUUGUGGCCAUCGUCUUAGCAGUCAUGAAGUGGAAACAUUAUCUCAUGGGGCGCAGGUUUAUACAGAUGAUUGAUCAUCACAUCCUACGCUAUUGCUUACAGCAGGAAACGCUCUCACCUGCUCUGCAGUGGUGGAUAUGCAAGCUAAUGAGUUUUGAUUUUGUGGUUCAAUACAGGAAAUGAAAGGAGAACCUAGCAGCCGACGGCCUAUCUCGCCAAGGAGAGCAGUCCACUAAUUUUCUACUAGCAGCUUCGCAAGUCCAGGUGAGGUUAUGGAAUCAGAUUAAGCAGACCCACCAAAUGGCUCAAUCAGCAAGGAAGAUCAAGGAACAGUUGCUGAACGAUCACAUCAAGUGUUAUAGGUUUCGAUGGAUUGAUCCAUCCUUAUAUAUUUUCAGCACCGAAUUUAUAUUCCACCUGAAACAGAGCUGUUGAAAAUUCUCCUUCAGCAUUUCCAUAGCUCCAAGGAGGAAUUUAUAUUCCACCUGAAACAGAGCUGUUGAAAGUUCUCCUUCAGCAUUUCCAUAGCUCCAAGGAGGCAGGUCACACAGGAGUGGGGGGAACUUAUCAAAGGCUAAAGGCCAUGCGGUCCGCGAGUUUGUCAAACAGUGUGAUAUUUGCCAGCAAAAUAAAUAUGAGACGUGAAACCCAGCUGGGUUGUUGCAACCCUUACCUGUACCACAGCAAAUCUGAGAGGAUACCUGCAUGGAUUUUGUGGAAGGACUUUCAAGCUCAAGAGGGAAGUCCGUCAAAUUUUUAGUAGUGGAUCGCCUCUCAAAAUAUGCACACUUCAUACCUUUGGCCCCAUCCUUUUACAACAAAAACAAUAGACAAAGCAUUCGAAGAUCAUGUAGGGAAGCUCCAUGGAAUGCCAAAAUCGACUGUAAGUGAUCGCAACUCCCUUUUCUUAAGUGUUUUUUGAAAAUAAUAUUUUAGAUUGCAAGACACCAAGCUGCAGAUGAGCACCUCAUACCAUCCCCAAUCGGAUGGACAAACUGAAAUCAUUAAUAAAUGCUUGGAGACCUAGCUUCGCUGCUUUGUUGGCCAGCGACCCAAGCUAUGGGCAAAGUAUCUGUCGUGGGCUAAGUUUGCCGGCCACCGGCACCACACCGUUUGAGACAGUAUAUGGGAGACCCCCUCCCAACAUACAACGUUAUCAGCCUGGAAUAGACCGUGAGGAGGCUGUUGACAUUCAGCUCUGUUGCAGGGAUGAAGUACUCAAGGAUCUUAAGCACUAGUUGGCUUCUGCCAGAAACUGAAUGGUUAUUGAACACAAUAGAAAAAGAAGGGAUCAACAGUAUCAAGUUUUGUAGAACCCCCAUGGAUUAGGACGACGUUCUCUUUCAGAUAGGCCCUCCCUGAAAGGAGAAGGAAGCUUGGAAUGCCAACAUAUCUAAUUCACCCGACACGAUAGUACCCAUUUUGGGAACGUCCAGUGCCAAAGUCACUGAAUGGGUAAGUCAUCAAUCCCUAACCUAAAGCUGACUAUGUAAUGUACUUUAUCUGUUAGGUUACGGGCGGGCAUUUUACCAGAAGUUUCUAUCGUAUGAAUCUACCCUGUGUGAUUCCUGUUGAAGGAGAUGUUAAAUUGGCCUCUCGAUUUGAAGGCCCGUAUCAGAUCAAGAGAAGGAUUGGGUUUUUGGCAUAUGAGCUGCUCUUGCCCACGUGAAGUCUGAUCCAUCCAGUUUUCCAUGUCUCUAAGUUGAAGCCUUAUGUUACCCCACCUUCUGCAGCUCAAAUUCAGGAAGUACCAGUUCUCCAAGAGAUUUCAAGGGUGCAACAAUAUCGCAAGUUGGGUGGCCGCAGAGUUAAGAAAGGAAAUCACUUCAGGACUGAAUGGUUCAUCGAAUGGAGCAGUUAUGAAGAUCUGCCAGCAACUUGAGAGGUCAACACAGACAUUCAAGCUCGAUUGACUUCACACCUUGAGGACAAGGUGUGUAUUGAAGGGGGGGGAAGUUGUUAGAGUCGGGCCUUAGCAGAGGAGGGUCCUUAAUAACAGUAAGCAGGUUUUAUUUUUUGUUCUUGUUCAAGAGGGUCUGAAUCGGGUCGGGUGUAGAGCUAUGGAGGUAAUACACCCAACCCAGAAUACUUGUGCUUAAAUAUGGGAAAGUUUAUCCUAAUUAGUAAUAUAGUUAUGCGAGAACUGGCGUUCAUUAGAAUUGAGUAACCUUCUGUCAGCGUGUUGGGUGGAGCUAACACUAGCCUUAUUUUGUAUUUGAUCAAUAAAAAUAAUAGAAAAUGUAGACAUCAUUGUACAACAA